ACUAGUUGGAACAUAAUUGAGAUAUGCUGUCAUCCUUCAUAUGUCAAACUAACUCUCUCUGUUCCUGUCGUUUGGUUUUGUAUAGAGUUUUCUGAAGACUUUUGUUUGGUUUUCACAAAUCAACCGAUCAAAGGUUGUGGAAGAUGCUAAAACUUUCAGGAAGGGAGCUUGUGUAAACUGUGGUGCUAUGACUCAUAAGGCCAAAGAUUGUAUGAAAAACCGCGAUCUAACAAGAAUCUAGCAAAAUACCGUAACAGAUCCAUUGCAUUAGAUACAAGGUUCCUGGGCAGGACCGGCUCAAUUAUUGACGAGACCCGGUGCUAGAUCUGUCCCAAAAAAAUUAAGGGCUCUUAGACAAAAAAUUUUUUUUUGUCUAUUAUUAUAAU